UAAUAGUAUCAGAUGCCUGCGAAACCCCCAUCACUUGAUAGGGGCCACUAACCUCAUACAGGAGUAGCCAUACAGUGAGUACCCCACACCACUGCUGUUUGUAUCACACCUGUCUAAACUGAUAGAGUGUCCCCACUCUUGUGUGGCCACAGAGAUUCUGAUUCUGCCAUGGCAUGCACUGUGCCCAAAGUCUAUUAAUUACAGCCAAAGCAGCUUUGGGGAGACGUUACUUCAGUGCCCAAGGAUAGCUGAAGCCAACACGGCCAAACAAACUAACACUCCAAGAGGUAUGUUCAGGAGAAAAACUACUUACUACAAAGGCCACCCCCUAAACGUGGUAGGGAUAACUAUCUACCAGAGGUACAAAUUACAACAGAGGAACACAAGAAAUGAAAACAAACAAAAACGAGGCAAUAUGGUAUCUCCAAGAGAACAUAGUAACUCUCUAGCAAGAGAUUUCAAAUAAAUAGAAAUGAAUGAGAUAGAAUUUAAAGGAUGAUUAUUAAAAAAACCCAAUGAGAUCCAAGAGAAUGAUAAAUAGUCAAAUGAAACUAGGAAGAUGAUGUAGGAUAUGAAUGAGAAAUUCACCAAAAAGAUAGACAUUUGGAAAAAGAACUAAACAGAAACCUUGGAAAGAAAGAGCUCAAUAAGUCAAAUAAAAAAUACAGUUGAAAGCCUCAAUAAUAGACUAGAUCAAGUGGAAGGAGGGAUAUUUGAACUUGAAGAUAGAUCUUUUGAAAUAUCCUAGUCCUCAAAACACUAUUAAGAAAAAGAAUAAAAAAUGAAGAGGGAAUUCAAAAAUCUGUGAGACAGCAUUAAAUAAUGCAUUUUCAUAAUAUCUGAAGGUGAGAGGAAAAAGGAUAAGGGCAUAGAAAAUCUAUUCACUGAAAUAAUAUCAGAAAAUAACUUGGG
rnacentral:lncRNA from 1 species